UAUCGUUCACACGACAGCUCUUUUAUGCGUAUUGCGUAUAACGUAUUACGUUCUUUGUUUACGUUUUUCUACGUAAAUUUCAUUUCGUUUUUUACGAGCCAAAAUUUACGAUAAAAUCUUCGUAGUCUGUUCACACUGCAGUACUCUGCACUUACAUAUCAGUGAACAAUGACAUGAUGCGUGAUUCAUCCGAUGAAGAAGUUUCUAAUUAUUUCGAUAAUGACGAUCAAGAAAAGGAACAAAUUCGUCGUCAAAACACCUUGGAAAUGUGGCGUUGGAAGGCCAAGGCUGCUUGUUUGUUGUACCUAUUGUUAAAACGUCGUCGUAGGAGGUUGUCAGCUAAUAAUCUUCGACCUGUUGGUAGAUUAUGGACAAGAGAAGAGUUUGGCAGACGGCUUCACCUUCAGGAACAUUACUCGUAUGUCACCAACCUUGUUCAACAAAUUGCUGUGGAUGGUAGGCCCUUCAUUGUUAAAAAAAGACACCAACAUGAGACGUUCUAUCCCAAGCAACGAUUAGCAUUGACUCUGAGAUUCCUCGCAUCAGGAGACUGUAUGCGAUCUCUUUCAUAUUCCUUCCGGAUAGGCCAUUCCACUGUUUCUGAAAUAGUGAACGAAACAUGUAGAAUAAUGUACGAGAUCCUUGCUCCUACCUAUUUGCAAUUGCCAGAUACAAAUAUGUGGAAACUAAUAUCAAAUGACUUUUCCAAAAUUUGGAACUUCCCAAAUUGUGUUGGGGCUGGAGAUGGAAAACACUUCGCCAUGCAAUGCCCUAACAACGGUGGCUCCAACUGGUAUAACUACAAAGGGUUCCAUAGCAUGGUGAUGUUUGCCGUUUGUCAUGCAAAUUACUGUUUCAUUGCUGUUGACAUUGGGGCUUAUGGCAGAGAGGGCGAUGCGAGACCAUCAAAACUUGUUUGUCUGUUUCCUAGGAUGAUGCAUUUCCAUUGAAAAAAAAACAUAAUGAAGCCAUAUCCCGGCCGAAGCACAGGAUCAUUAACAAAAGAAGAACUAAUAUUCAAUUACAGGUUGUCUCGUGCAAGAAGAACUAUUGAAAAUGCUUUCGGAAUUGUCACCAACAAAUUGCGCAUUUUCCGCAAACCGAUGAUUGGAAGCCCUCAAAAUGUUGAAAAUUACAUAAAGGCAGGUGUUGUCUUGCACAAUAUGCUGAUUCGCGAAGACAGCCGCUUCUACUUGGAUAACCAAAAACUACCGGAUCAUUUUGAUGUAAAUGGAGUUUUAAUCGAAGGUGCCUGGAGGACGGACAGUACAAUGACAUCAAUGUUUCGUGACUUGCGGCCAGGAAAAGGAAUGAACUAUCCAACUGUCGCCAAAAACAUUCGCGAUCAGUUUACAAAAUAUUUUUCGAAUGAAGGUGCAGUGCCAUGGCAGAGGGUCAUUGUCGAAGAUACAGGCAGACUUUCUGAGGAGGAAGGUUAAUGAAUAUUAACUACGAAUAGUUGCUCGAAAUGAUUUGUAUUGCUGAGAUCAUUGAUGUUUGUAAUAACGAUGAGCAACGUAAUACAAUCAUUUUGUUUCAUUGCAA